UGACAGUACUCCUACGGGGAGGGCAGCAGUGGGGGAAUAUUGCACAAUGGGCGCAAGCCUGAUGCAGCCAUGCCGCGUGUGUGAAGAAGGCCUUCGGGUUGUAAAGCACUUUCAGUCGUGAGGAAGGUGGUAGUGUUAAUAGCACUAUCAUUUGACGUUAGCGACAGAAGAAGCACCGGCUAACUCCGUGCCAGCAGCCGCGGUAAUACGGAGGGUGCGAGCGUUAAUCGGAAUUACUGGGCGUAAAGCGCAUGCAGGUGGUUUGUUUAAGUCAGAUGUGAAAGACCCGGGGCUCAACCUCGGAAUAGCAUUUGAAACUGGCAGACUAGAGUACUGUAGAGGGGGGUAGGAAUUUCAGGUGUAGCGGUGAAAUGCGUAGAGAUCUGAAGGAAUACCGGUGGCGAAGGCGGCCCCCUCGGACAGAUACUGACACUCAGAUGCGAAAGCGUGGGGAGCAAACAGGAUUAGAUACCCUGGUAG
rnacentral:rRNA from 1 species